AAAACCUCCAUUUGUCUGCCAAAACCAAGCCUCCACGAAAACCUCCCCCAGCUCAAUCCACCAAAACCUAGCCUCUGUUAGGCGAAAACCUCCCCUACGUUGCAUUUGCCCACUAAAACCUACCCUUUGUCGAAACUUAGCCUAUGCUCCGUGAAAACCUCCCCCAUGAAAACCUACAUCUGUCCACCAAAACCUAGCCUCCACGAAGCAAAAACCUCCAUCUCUGGCCAAAACCUAGCCUCCACAAAAACCUCUAUCUCCUCCAAAACCUAGCAGCCAUGAAAACUUCCCCUUUGCCAAAACCUCCCCUCCAACAAAACUCCACCAAAAACCCACGCAGCCUGCGACCUAGCUUCCUCCGCCACUCCUCCAUGUCGCUCGUGACCUAGCCUCCACCACUCUUCCAUGACUGUGAGGUGUUCAAGACAGUUGCCGUUGAUGGAAAUGUCUCUUCUCGUGUGAGUAGUGAGUCGUACGUCUUUCCCAUCAAGUGGUGUCUACUACAAGGACCGUUGAUCUGGAGGAAGCUUACUUACCUGACUUACCAUGUUGUACUCAUCGGUAGAGGCUCCCCCUUCAUUAAUGCUCUUCUCAGAAGUGACUUCAUCUUCAGAUAAAGGUAAAGGGAAGAUGGAAUA